ACAUUACAUAUUUUAAAUUUGUAUUUUUCAAAUUAAAUAUUUUAGGUCCUGGAAAUGUUAUCAUAAAAACAAAUUGUUUGACGCAAAAUAAAAAACAAAGAUUUUGUCAUGGAUUUUUGCAAAUCGGGUCGUCGGUAAUCACCUACGUCCAAAUGCCAGCACGACCAGGGGUCUUUGUUUUCCCUACCUUUGGAAAGUCCAGAACUAUUUCAAUAACAGCUGAAGAUAUUGUGCUGGUCAUCGAGAAGUUUCAUGCCUCAGCUUAACUCCAUGCUACUACCACUGAAGAAAGUAAUGAUGACUCAACCUUUUGGGGUGAGGCGUGCCAGCAUCUGGGCAUUAAUAAUGUCAGUCUCAAUAGGAAGAGGCUUAAAAGUGCCUUUAAGCGACACAAAAAGAUGAAAAUUCAGAAGACGCCUCAAAAAGGACCAGCGCACCCACAUUCUGACCGCCCGGCGACAACAUCUCCGGCGGAAACCCCAGAGUUCCAUUGUACUUCACCCCAAAAUGACUCUGCAUCAUCAUCAUCGUCAUCGUCAUCGCCAUCACCAGAUGAUGAGGAAUACAAGGAACAAUACUUCACCUACAAAUUACCUGACCAACCCUGUUUUUUUUUCAUUCUGGAAAAUGACUGGAAGAAACUCAGGAAGACCCAACACAAACGGCAAUUAAAAACACUGGACUGGAAAGCAUCAUUGCUAAAGGAAUCCGGACUAUCCAUCCACAUUGUAGCUUUGCUUUUAAGCACCACACUUUACAAUCAAUUGGGUCCACAAGGAGUUCAUCAUUAUUUUUUGUAAAGGCUACUCGUCCUUUUGAUGACUGCCCUGUCACAGUUACGGUCAAAGUCAGUGAUGAGUGCUCACUCAAGGCAUCAGUGACUUUUGGUGGAGACAGAGCGUGGCAUCAUUGUGAACAACUUAGAAGAAGGCCUGUGCGUGCUAGUGAAAGGGAUGGGAUAGCAGAUGUCCUCACCACCAAACUUCCGCGGAGUCUAUUCUUGGAGAACCUGGAUAAGCUUGAAGAGAGUGUUGUGGCAUCGGGAUGCAGAGACGAAGUUCCGACAACCGGUGUCAUGAAAACCAUCACAUACAACAGUCGGAAAAAAAGAAGACGGCACAAAAAUGAAAUGACAAGUCUCCAAAUCACGCUGCAGGAAGAACAAGGGUCGGAGGAUGCAGUAAUCCAAAAAAUAAUAAUGCACCUGUAGGAUAUUAGAAACAAUAUACGACCCGGUUCAUGAAAUUAAUAAAAAUGCAUAUAGUGUACACCAAAAUACAGCCAUAAUUCUGAAACUGUGUAAUCAAUAAAGUAAUGACAAUAUUGUAAAACCACUGUAAUUCUGAAACUGUACUAGAAUAAUACCAAUGUACAGGUAUGAUUGUAUUUAAUGUAAUGUAAUCAACUGGAAUGCAUGCAUGUAAUACUUGAACAACAACUGAUAUUGACUAAGGAUCAUUCGAAAUCCGAGUUACAUUGAACCGGUGAGAAGACCGGAAGUGGUCUUCUCACCAGAAGACCACUCCCAGAGGUGUGGACACUAACUUUCACACCUUUAAGCAUUGUUAUAAAUACCUGUAGGAACCAUUGUUCUCGAGUUCGCUGGUGGAGG
ensembl:lncRNA